UGCAUGCGCGGCGGAGUACGAGUGAACCAUGCAGCGGUGAUUCGGCUGCGAAGGCCUGCUGACUUGAUGGAUUCGUUUUUUUUUUGCUUGUUGUUGUGGCAAAGACUUCGUCUUGAGCCGCGCAGGCGACUGUUCGAUUUCUGGGCAAACACACACACACGCACACAGACCGUACAAUGAGUGCGUCGCAGCAGAGACGCCCACUCACUGCGGAGGAGCGGGCACGCUCACUGGAGGUGCUUGCCGAUCUGCUCGUCUCCACCUUCGACGGGGAGGUGAAUACUGCCGAUGUGCAUCGCGCAUUGUCCACAAGCGACACAGCCGACGGCGACGAUGACGACUCGUGGCGGGUGCGCAUAAUGGAGUGUGCGCAUGAGCGCAACGCUCGAGUGGCCGGCGAGGCAGCGCAGCGAGGCUCACGGGAAUGGGUAUGCCCCAUGUGCGAGACAGUAAAUUGGAUCGUGGACGCUCGCGAGACCCUUCGCAAGCGACAGGGAGAGUCGUCGUUCGGAUUUUCGCUGACCGUCACGGAUCAUUUGCGGUGUGAGUGCUGCGGCUAUGAUGGCGCGACGGCGCCGUCGUAGCACCUACGCGCGCUCCUCGCUUCUCGUUACUCCUUUCUGCUUCAGCAUGCACCAGCUACUCAAACACCCAAUAGCGGCGCUGCUGUCGAGGGCAUGUAGGCGACAGAGGGGCUCGAAAACGUGCAGGGAGUUCAGACACAGCAAAAAAAAGACGGAAAAGGAAAGCUGUUAGAGGCGAGCAGCGGCGGCGCUGGUGCUGCUGUUUUAUUCGAUAGCCCUGCCGCCCUCGGGCGGGGGAGAGGUGUGGCGAGACCCUCUGUCCCACCACCAUAUUGUGUGUGUGCGCGCACAUGCAUACUCGAUGCUCUUUUUUUUUAUUGCCCCCUUUUCCGUUUGCUUUCCACAUCCAUACUCCAUUCCAGCGGCGAAAAGACGCCGACGUGUGCAUCUUCAUCUUCGCGUGUCUCUUUCUCUCUCGCCGUGCCUUUCUCGCUCAUCUUUUUCCAACCGGCCAUUUCCAG
rnacentral:misc_RNA from 1 species